GAUGAAGAACGUAGCGAAAUGCGAUAAGUAAUGCGAAUUGCAGAAUUUCCGUGAGUCAUCGAAUCUUUGAACGCACAUUGCGCCCACUGGUAUUCCGGUGGGCAUGCCUGUUCGAGCGUCAUUAUCCUCCCUCAAACCCCGGGUUUGGUGUUGGACCCAAGUUGUGUGAACAACUGGUCUUAAAGACAAUGACGGCGUCCGUGGGACCCUCGGUGCAACGAGCUUUUAGGAGCUCGCAUCGAGUUGCAAGGACCUUCCGGGCCGGUCUCCUUUACUAUUUUACAAGGUUGACCUCGGAUCAGGUAGGAAUACCCGCUGAACUUAAGCAUAUCAAUAAGCGGAGGA
rnacentral:misc_RNA from 1 species